rnacentral:rRNA from 1 species
GACGAACGCUGGCGGCGUGCUUAACACAUGCAAGUCGAGCGGUAAGGCCUUUCGGGGUACACGAGCGGCGAACGGGUGAGUAACACGUGGGUGAUCUGCCCUGCACUUCGGGAUAAGCCUGGGAAACUGGGUCUAAUACCGGAUAUGACCUCCUAUCGCAUGGUGGGUGGUGGAAAGAUUUAUCGGUGCAGGAUGGGCCCGCGGCCUAUCGGCUUGUUGGUGGGGUAAUGGCCUACCAAGGCGACGACGGGUAGCCGACCUGAGAGGGUGACCGGCCACACUGGGACUGAGACACGGCCCAGACUCCUACGGGAGGCAGCAGUGGGGAAUAUUGCACAAUGGGCGAAAGCCUGAUGCAGCGACGCCGCGUGAGGGAUGACGGCCUUCGGGUUGUAAACCUCUUUCAGCAGGGACGAAGCGCAAGUGACGGUACCUGCAGAAGAAGCACCGGCUAACUACGUG